GGGGUCCCGGAUAAUAAAACGUUUGUUACGAACUGCUUAUGUUCGGUGGCAGUGCCAUAUCUCAGGGGCAGGGUACCCCUAAUGCCACAGCUCGAAACAUAAAUAUCGAUAACUCCGCGGUCUCACAUAAUCCAUCGGUCAUUACUAAGAACAAAAACGUAAACAAAGGUAAAUAUCUACAAACAUGGACGGAAAAAUGGAUUAAAUUUGGUGGCGCUCCCACCCAACCAAGGAUGUCCUCAAGAUGCUGCAUGCCACCACCCAUUCUCUGCCGGAAGGAGCCCCCUCCUCGCGACUACUGCGGUUCCAUCUCCCGCACUAGGAAAGUUUACUCACACAUUGUGGGUUUUACAAAUGUUUAAUGAAUAUGCGUUUAAGACCGAAUAUUUGGCCGCCGUCUUAAUUAUUUACGCGGUCAAAGCAGAGGAUUUGUUUUGCUGGAAAAAGGGUACAGGCGCCGCGGAAAAUUAUGCUAAACCAGUCAUGUAUUGGUAGAGCUCGCAUGGAAACACGGCCCUCAAAAGAGACACACGCGAUGCGCGUGUGUAUGGUCACCUUAUCCUGAGGAGCUCCAUUGGAAAAGAAAGGACAGGCCAAAAAGGCAAACGACGAGGACAAAUAAAGAUCUCGGGUCUAAGUCCGGAUAAAUUCACAAACAAGGAACCACUAUUGGGCCGGCCCUGGAGGCGAUGAUAGCCCGGGCUGAAGACUUCUCGCCGGAGGCCAGCAGCGAUACGGGUCUCCAAGAAAGAAAACUGGCGCACUACGGUGAGUUGUGCAAGGGCAGUCAGAGGAUCGGCCGCCCGACAAAACGGCGGUACUUCUCAACGCCGCGAUGCGACGGCUGGAAGUUCCCGAGAUGAGGUGGACGUGGUAGACCGGAACGGACUCACCGGGAAAUGCUUGAUGUCGUCGGCGUCGACUACGAAAGGCGUUUAUGGCUGGUCGUCUAUGCGGGUCGAACGGUCACCGGUUGCUGGCAGCCAAGACGGGGCUGGUACGUAUGGCGAAGUCGCGCAGAUAUCAAUAGAACUCCCAAGUUAAUAUCCCGGGGCCCGUUGUGUUGGGACCCCGGCUGCCUUUAUAAAUGAUUAUUAAUAGCAUUUAACAAACUACCAAGUAACUUUCCUAUCACUCACUAUCAUUAAAUUUUAAGCACAAAAAAAUUUAUCCUAGCACUUCCAGCUGCAUCUGCCUGGUUGGACAAUAUGGCUACGACUAUUUGAUAUCUGCUGAUCAUCGUUCCUUCCCCGCCAUGUUACAUGGCCUCUCCCAAAAUUGGGUCAUUGGAUACAUGGGUCGAUUUAAGGUAAUCCCAGAGCGAAACGGGAUUAAUCCUCAAAUGGCCAGAUCGCCGGCCAGAUUCAUCCCGCUGCUGCAACUUUCGCCCUAUCGACCUAAUCGAUAAAGUCCCUCCCAUUAUCGACUCCAAUUGCAACAUCAACCAAAGAUUUCGAGAGGCGCUGCCCGGAGUUUCAGCAGAACGACGAAAUAAUUGGUAGCUUUGGAGAUACGAUGGGAUUCAACACGGCACUGAUACCAUCCUGCAGGAUUUGCUGAAAUCACUCAGCACGAUGUUACGGCGGAAGACUUCUUGGCCUGGCUUGGCGAGCAGUGUACGGGCUCGCUUAUCGUAGCGCUGCCGGCUCGUCUGGUAUGCACCCUCCAGUUGAUUUUGCACCUUGGCGUGGAUUACCCGAAGCUUGUCCUUGGUCUGCAUUCCGGCCAUUUCAUGGUCGACCAGGGACCUGAGUCGUCUGGCUAGCUUUUAGCUGGAACCGUUGGGGAACAUGUGAUGGCCGAAUAAGGUGAAGAACGGCGUUUCUCCUGUGGCUGAGUGGACAGUGUUUCGGAUGGCCACCUUAAUCUCCGGCAGAUGUGCAUCCCACUCCCGGUGAUCUUCUUCCAAGAAGCUGCGAAUUGCGGCCAAGACAUUCCGGUUUACCCUCUCCGCAGCAUUGCUCUGUGGUGAGUAUACGGGAGUCCUCAUGUGCUGUAUACCGAAGCCCUCAACCAUCUCCUCAAACGCCUUGGAUACGAACUGUUUGUCGUUGUCCGAAUGUAUCGUCUCAGGCACCCCGAACUUGUAAAAUACCUCGUUUACCAGGAAAUUUACUACGUUGGAUUCCGUCGCCUCCUUCAUCGCCUUUUAGAAGGUGUACUUGGAGAAGUGGUUCACCACGAUGAAAUUCCAGGCGUGUCCACUCUUGCACCUGGGAUACUUGCCCUGGAAAUCGAUCUACAGUUUCUGGAAUGGUCCCUACCCUUCUUCCGAUCCCGACCUGCAUCCGGAAGUUUGGCGCUUUUGACUCCUUGCAUACCUCGCAACCCCGGACGUAUUCCCGCACCUGGAUCGUCAUCCCCGGCCAAUAGAACUGGCGUCACAGGGUCUCUAAGGUCUUCGUCAUCCCACCAUGGCCAGCCUUGGGGUCCGAAUGAGCUCGCUCUAUCAAGCUGUGCGUCAGGUUUUGCGGAAUCCCCAGCUUCCAUUCGGAUCCUUCCAAUUCCUCGUCCAUCCUCGGAUAACUCAUGCGCUU